GACGAACGCUGGCGGCGUGCUUAACACAUGCAAGUCGAACGGAGCGAAUGAAAGCUUGCUUUUAUGAGCUUAGUGGCAAACGGGUGAGUAACACGUAGACAACCUGCCGAUCAGAUGGGGACAACAUUCCGAAAGGAAUGCUAAUACCGAAUGGUGUGCGGGGGAGGCAUCUCCCCCGCAUGAAAGACGGCCUAUACAUGUAAGCUAUCACUGAUUGAUGGGUCUGCGUCUGAUUAGCUGGUAGGUAAGGUAACGGCUUACCAAGGCGACGAUCAGUAGCCGGUCUGAGAGGAUGAACGGCCACAUUGGGACUGAGACACGGCCCAGACUCCUACGGGAGGCAGCAGUGGGGAAUCUUCCGCAAUGGGCGCAAGCCUGACGGAGCAACGCCGCGUGAGUGAAGAAGGUCUUCGGAUCGUAAAGCUCUGUUGAUGGGGACGAACGUGCGAAGGGUGAAUAAUCCUUUGUAAGGACGUACCUAUCG
rnacentral:rRNA from 1 species